UUUUAUUUUGAUUAUCUAAUUAAAAAAUAUUAAAUAAAAAUGAUUAAAAUAUUUAUUUGUUUUAUUUAUUUUUAUUUAACAAAAAAACGUAUAUUUGUCUUUGUUUAUUUGAUUUUUAAACUAUUUGUAUCAAUUAAAAUGAUUAAAAGGGACAUUUUGGUCUUUGUGUGUCAAGAGAACCCUAGAAAUCCUUACUAUUUAAACUAAUGUCAUUGGCUCAUGAAGAAGAGAUCCAACUGUUGCCUAAACGGCAGACC
rnacentral:lncRNA from 1 species